rnacentral:lncRNA from 1 species
UCAGAGGCACAAUUACAUAGAGAAGGAAUGUGGAGUUUGUCUGGAAUUCUGGUUAUUUACUGAAUAUCUCUUGCCAAUUUUCUGCCUGGUGUCAGCCAAAAUGAGCAAUGGAAACAAUCAUGAUGUCACAAAGGCAUGGUCAGCACGAAGUCAGACCCAUCGUGGGUGCAGGUCACAGCUUGCAAGCAAGCAAGCUCCACUAGCAGAACAGAACUGUUGGGUGUGGCUGAGGGGAAUCUAGAACACAGGCAGAGGAGGGAGAGUAUAAAUAUCAACUAACGCUCAGCACCAAAUGCAGAAGUGGUGAACGCUGCUUGGUCUACCAUCCUCUUGCUAUGUGGCAUUGGUCAGAAUUUAGUCAUGUGGACAUACCAAACUGCAAAUGAGGCUGGGAAAUGAAUUGUAGCUACAUGCCCAGGAGGAAGGAGACUUGGCCUGAAUUAUUUCUUGCAGAAGAUCCAAAAACCUUCUGUUGGGGUCUGAAUUGGGACUCCUUUCCUGUAGCAUCUUUCUGGUGACCACUGAAGGGACUAUAGUGCAGAAAACCCCCACCCAAAGGCUAACUUUCGCAUAAUGCUAAUAAUGAGUUCCUGACUCAACCCUGAGGAUCUACCAAAAUUUUCCUCCUUUGUUCACCAGCUGAUGCCAGGUGUGGAGGGGCAGAAGGAAGAAGCAAAGUGGAGUAGGAAGUGUGAGAAUGUGCAUGUAAUCUACGCCUAUGCAGCACAUCCAGGCACGCCAGCUUCAACUCGCUUCAUCAUGAGAGACCAAAAAUAAACAUAAUGAAAUAGAGGACAUUCUCGCGCCUCAAAAAAUUGAACUAUCUUAAAAGGAAUAUUGUUAUUGCCUCCAGUUUACUUUUGAGAAAUGUGAGUCACAAAAAGUAAAACAACGUACUCAAGGUCACACCGCUGAGAAGUGUGUUAGGUGAGACAUCUUGAAGCUCUUCCUUCUCAUGCUGGAAAGGCUGUCAGAAAGUUCAAGUCCUCCUCUUGACAUAGUACAUGCCUAUUUGCUCAUUGGGAUAGGCUAACCUUUUCAAGCAAUGUGCGGCACCCCUUAGCUUCAAUAAAGUGUUCAAUGUAAGAAGAAUAUGCUCUGUAUCCAUAA